CCGCCGAAAGAUCGGGACCCGUCUCGG
rnacentral:sRNA from 1 species